ACACUACUCCCUCCGAUCCAUAUUAAUUGUCUCAAAUUUGCCUAAAUAUGGAUGUAUCUAUGCCUAAAAAACGUCUAGAUACAUGUAAUAUUUCGAAGAUUAAUAUGGAUCGGAGGGAGUAGAAA
rfam:Brachypodium distachyon strain Bd21 chromosome 3, whole genome shotgun sequence.